AGAAUGAACGCUGGCGGCAUGCCUAACACAUGCAAGUCGAACGAAACCUUCGGGUUUAGUGGCGCACGGGUGCGUAACGCGUGGGAAUCUACCCCUUGGUUCGGAAUAACAGUUGGAAACGACUGCUAAUACCGGAUGAUGACGUAAGUCCAAAGAUUUAUCGCCGAGGGAUGAGCCCGCGUAGGAUUAGCUAGUUGGUGUGGUAAAGGCGCACCAAGGCGACGAUCCUUAGCUGGUCUGAGAGGAUGAUCAGCCACACUGGGACUGAGACACGGCCCAGACUCCUACGGGAGGCAGCAGUGGGGAAUAUUGGACAAUGGGCGAAAGCCUGAUCCAGCAAUGCCGCGUGAGUGAUGAAGGCCUUAGGGUUGUAAAGCUCUUUUACCCGGGAUGAUAAUGACAGUACCGGGAGAAUAAGCUCCGGCUAACUCCGCGCCAGCAGCCGC
rnacentral:rRNA from 1 species